CCCCUCCUGGUGCUGUGUGACCGACCCAACCACCGGGGCUCGGGGGGCAGCUCCGCAUGGCGCCGGCCCAGACACACGAAGCCGCCCGGCGAAGGCCCGGACUAGCAGACGGCGCGAAUAGGAAAGGCCGUUUCCCUCGUGCCCCUCUGCGGCGCAGGAACCCAGAGCGCUGCGGUAGCUUAGUGGCACCGCGCCAGGGCCCGCUGACCCAGCAACGGCCGGUACGAGCUGGACGGACCCAGACCUACCGCCCGGCUUACAUGGGCUUCAGCCCAGCCCCCCCCCGAGCAGCCCGGCUCAGGCAAGGAGCGCUCUCCCCUCCCCCACGUGCUCCGCGGAGCGAGCGGCCCUGGCCCCAGUGACUGACCCUGCGUGGCAUGGCCCCGCCCCAGCUCCGCACGCUGGCACUGACAGAACCCUGCCCCCAGCCGCCGCGCCGACGGAAGCCGGCCAGGGCCACCAGCAUCACACAGACCGAACCGUGGGAGGCUCCGACCCGCACUUCCGGCAACACCGGUACACCCCUCCCCGCGGGGCCCGCAGGGAAACCCCCUUCGGCUUCCCAGUUCCGGGGCCAGCAGAGUGCUGCGCACGCGCAGAUUGAACUGGCCCGAAUCCAGGCGGCGGGCAGGGAAGCUGCGUGGCUGGUCCGACGCGCGCGGGGCAGAGGCGCCAGCCAGGCGUCCUCGCGCUUGGUCUGGCCUCGACCUUCGCGGCAGGCUGCAAGCCCCGCCCCCCCCCGCAGUCACGUGCGCGCUCAGCCCCAUCGCGCGUACGGCAUCCGCCAGCCCCUGGCUUGGGGCGCGCUCCCGUUCUGCAGCGAGGGGGCCAGCUCCGCGCACGGCGGGGGGCCGAGGCAAGGAUCAGCUGGACCGCUCAGCCCGUGCUGUUCCGAGCAGGGCCCGGUCCCACCGUCUCACCCCCUGCACAGCACGCCGCGCCUGAAGGGCCGAUGCGCCUGCCUCGUGCAGGGCACAGCUGAUUUUGAAACAAGUCUGGAACAUAAGUUUCAUCAUGACUGUCUCUCAAACUGGAUUGACAAAGCACCUGGAUCCUGAGUGAAUAUAACUCAUCUCUGGCCAGAUCAUGCCUGCACAUGGGAGAUUGUAGGCCACAAAGGGUAUGUCUAAAUCACAAUCUAUGCCCUGGCUUAGCAGAACUCGAGUCAGUAGACUCUGGCUUUGUUAACCUAGGGCUUGAGCAUCUACACACUCAUUUGUAACCCCAGGUUAAGCAUUGUUGAACCCUGGGUCCAACCUGGGGCUCUAGCGUCUAUGCUGCAUUAUGUGGGUUUGAGCCAGCCAUCCAUAUCCCAGACUUCCUAGCAGGACAGGAAAUAUAAGGGCCGGGCCCUGCAGCUCAGUUGGGUUCAGACCAGGAAAGGAGCCCGAUGUCCUUUCCAGGAAGCUGAACUACCUGUGGAGCCCAUGGUUAGCUGCAGCAGAUGAUGAUGACACUUCUGGGACCAUGGCUUUCCUUUUUUCCAGGCUGGCUUAGGAGAUGCGGGAAACCAGGAGAGGAAGCACAGAGUGAGCCGCUUGGCACAGAUAAGGGGAACUGGGAACUAGGCCCCAGUCACUGCAGAAAACAACUCAAAUCAGAAGCCAGUAGGAAGCAGCCAAGGAAAAUGAGACUUUGGGUCUGUUGUGUUGCCAGGAGACAAGGCAGUGACCUCAUGUUUCUGUGCUGGCCUCAAGAUGCGAUCACCGUUUGCUCCUAGGGUCCUGGGCUGGGACCCGGUGGAGUAGGGUGGGCCCAGAUCUCCCUACCCCUGGCCCCACACUCAGGGCUGGGCAAGCACUAACCCCUAGGCCAAGGGGCCUGAGCCACUGCCCACUUGUUUGCUCAGCCUAUGCCCAGAAGGCCUGAGUCCUUGUUUAUUUAACAGUUUAGCCCCAAAGUAGGAGCCCCAAGCCACAGACUUCUUAUUGUCCCAGCCCCCAUCCUGGAGACUGGAGCUACCACAUGCUUAGGGGCUCAGCUGCCAAUCGGGAUGAUUGGUUGCCCCACUUAAGUAUGAACACCAAUUCCCCACCGCCAAAGGGGGUGCCCUGGAAGACAUCCAAGGAACCUUACACCACCAAACAUGAUUGUCCAGGGAACAAAAAGUCAGUGUUUGGGAUUGUGGAAUACUUUUGACAGACUCCCAGAGCACUAGUCCAGGGGGGCUGCAUCUACAUUGCAAUGCAAUAAGGCUUGAACCCGGGGUCCAAGCUUGAUUUAGGCUCCAACGCUCCACCCCCGUGGGGUCCAGGUCCCCCAGUAAGAGCCCUCAAUUAGGGCAAUUUGCAUGUUGAUGGACAGAUGUUAUGUUUUAGCCUGAGUUCGAACCAGGAGCUUACAUUGCAAUUAGAUGUAUUUAAAAUGUAGGACAGAGAAAGAGAGGAAACCCAGUAGUUGAAAGUUAGCAAAUUUUCAGCAGUAGUAAGUCUGAGAAAGCAUGCAGCUGCACUAGCUGCAAAGGCAGGAUUGUAUUUAUACAACACUCAAAGGCAUGCUGUGUGCUUUACAGACAGAAAAGAGGAAAGGUUCCUGUCCCAGAGAGUCUGCAUGCUAAACAGACAACAUAUAAACUACGGACAGCAGGAUAAAAAGAUGCAAACAAGAGUGUUAUAUUCUUAUCACUUAUUUUCUUGUUUAUAAUUUAUCCCUUAGUUUUAUAUGCAUGUGUAACCUGAAUCAACUUGAACCUCAUUUAUUCACUGUUUAAUCCUUUUCUUAAUUCCUCAUCAUCUAUUCUCGCAUCCCAAGAAAAAUACACGAGUUAACCUUAGUAUAGAGUCCCCUUUGUUUCUUCCUUCCCUGGCCUCUCACAAAAUAAGCUUUAGUCUCAUCUUUUUCUUGUGUACCUCAUACACCAUGGUUAUUUCCUCUCCCUUGCCUCUACCCAGGCACUCUUCUUAACACUUUGCUGAGGUUGGUUGUGAUAAAGUCAAUGGGGUCAGGUAAUGUACUGCUUCUCCUGCCAAUAGUCUGUUCCCUCCUGGGAGUCUAGGCUCAAGCCCAUUCGUAGGCUGGAAGCUGACGUCAGUCUGAGCUAUUUACAGUACUAAGUUUAGUCAAGAAGAAUAUACAUAUGCUGCUUUCCUAGCUGAAAGUAGGCAGGACCAGCCCAGUAGUUGAGCAGGAUUGGCAAAUGGACACUCGAAGUAAUUUAACCAUAAUGCUUCAACUAAAACUGAACAUGCAGCAAAGGUAUUUAGAAAACCAAUUUCUCUUUUUUUGCCAUAUUGGCAGCAAUUUUUUGGUAAAUCCAAUGAUAGGUAGUACUAAGUCACUGUAGUAACCUAAAGCAAAAUUAGAGACAGCACUAUAAAUAUGGCAUAUAUAGUUAAACAGGACCAAACCAGAUAAAAAUCUGGACUGUUUUCAAGUCAACAGAUACUCAAGCUUUUUUAGUAUUUUCCCACAGAUUUAAUCAGACAUCACACAAAGUAUUACUGUAACAGAAAUGUAUAGUCAAAAUUCAGAAAAAUUCUUCAAAGAUACAUGAAGAUGCAAAAGUAGUAACAUUCACAAUAAGAUAAAACUAAUUUUUUAUGCAUUUUGCUCUUGUAUUCAAACUUAUGUUAGUCAAUGUUUCUUCUGCAGUGAUAGAAAAAUGAGUGCACUACCGUGGCCAAAAUAAUACUGAACCACUAAAAUUCCUACACUAAUUAGACUAUGUAGACUAGCAUAUACAAAUGUUUGCUUCAUCUUUCAAAAUGGUAUUGAGGUAAAAUCCUUGUACGUUUAAUAAAAGUUCUAACUAAUUCUAGUCAAUAUGAGCAUAGAUUUUUAAACCAAAAAUCUGAUCCUAAAUCUGUCAAGUUAAAACAUCAGUUUCAACAUUAUGUGAUACCUGUAAACCACUAUGUAACAAGAGGGUCAGUUAUUAAAAGGGUCAAGUUAAACAAGUCAAUCAGGACUAAUUUAUUUGUUUAAAUGGCUAAGCCUUUUAGCAGAGUGGUAGUUUUUAUAUAUGGGAAUCUUUUAGAGCCUAUAUAUUGUACAUGUUUCAGGGCAAGCUUUGACCAAAAGGUACACCGUUUAACAAUGCAAAUCAAUACAAUUCUUUUAUGAAGUUGAAAUUCAUAUUCUGGUAAUAGAAGGCAACUUACCUAUGUCAAUAUCAGUAAAACCUUCUGCACUUAUUGCAUCCAUUGUACUUUUGUCUAUAGUGUCAAGACAAAGACUAGCAAGCUGAGGUUCAUCAAAUAAUCGAGCCUAUAGAGAUAAUAUAUUGUUUACAGACAAAUGGUAUGACUCUGGUGUUGCAACCAACAGAUUUAUGAAGUAACCCAAACAAACAAGUGUUUACUCCAGAAUAAUGGAUACAUUCUAUUUAGACAGCCUCAAUUUACCUUUCAAGUAUUCCUUGAGUUUGUGUCAAACAGCCUUUGAAUGAUGUACUUCAUUAAGAGUUUUUGUAUCGGAUUUCUCCAAUUCUCCUUCCUGAAUAUUAUUAUUACACUGCCAAAGAUAAAUCUCUAUAUUUGAAAUUGCAAGUCAAAACUACAAUAUUGGAUCAAAAUAGACAAUGUUCUCAAAGAGCCGCAGAUUAACUCAUUAAAAUAUUAAUAUUAAUAGCACUGGAGAGAGAGAACAGACCUCAUGUUUAUGAUGUUCCAAUAACUAUAUAAAAAUACAUUUACUUACAAGGCCAUUUUCCUUUAUAUUAUUUCAUACGCAAGAAGCUGAGUGACAAAGCUGCAAUAAGAUGGUUGCAAAAAGACUGAUAUGCUGCACAGAUAGUUCUACCACAGACUAAACUACCUAGAUAUCUAACCUUGUGUAAUUAUUAGCUCUUUGGGGUGUGAUUUAUUAAGCAAUAUUUUCAUAAACCAACAUUUUAUUCAGGUUACCUGGGUAAGAAGCAUAAAGGCAUUGUCUGCUCUAAGAUGUUUAGUGAGAAAUUCCACACAAUGUGCUUCCAGGGCUGGGACUGCAUACUUCUUGGCAGUGUAGAGAGUAGUCAUAACUGUUUCAGGACCAAUCUGAACUUCAUCUGAAUAAAGAAACCUGGAAAUAAUACACAAAUACAGAAGGAUAAAAGGGAUAUAACUGAGGGAGAGCUUAACAUACCAACUAAAUUUCAGAACAUGAUUAACAGCCUCUUUGUGUUGACACAACAAAUUAAAGAAGUGCACUAAAAAAGUUUGGUACUAGUUAAGAUGUGGCAGCAUGUUAGCUUAUGAAAAGCUAAUGCCAUUAGAUCUGCAUAAGAAGUGUAACACUCCCUAAAAACUAAUCUUUCUGUACUGGUUUAUUAGAUAUGUACAACCAGUGAAGAGCAGCUGAGCUGGCAGAAUUACUUUUAGUUCAUUAAAUCGAUCUGGUUCAAUAGCAAAAACAUCUUCAAUUUGAGUAUCAAUGCCUCUAGUCCAGGGGUAGGCAACCUAUGGCAUGAGUGCCAAGGCAGCACGCGAGCUGAUUUUCAGUGGCACUCACACUGCCCAGGUACUGGCCACCAGUCUGGGAGGGCUCUGCACUUUAAUUUAAUUUUAAAUGAAACUUCUUAAAGAUUUUAAAAACCUUAUUUACUUUACAUACAACAAUAGUUUAGUUAUAUACUAUAGACUUAUAGAAAGACCUUCUAAAAAC